rnacentral:tRNA from 1 species
GCCGGGGUACCCUAGCCUGGUAGGGGGCAGGCCUUGAGAGCCUGUGGCCUUUUCUGGCCUCGUGGGUUCGAAUCCCACUCCCGGCG